rnacentral:lncRNA from 1 species
CUGGAAACCGGGGGAAAAACUGGCAAAAGAAAGAGAAAAAGAGAAGAAAGAAAAGGAAGAAGAAGAAGGAAGAGGAAGAAAAAAAUGAUGGCAAUACCAACAUGGUCCUUAAAGUUCUUCCUUAAUUUCUCCAUGUAAGUAAAAGAUGUAUUUAUGGGAAAUAAUUCUUGAGUUUAAGGUUUGUAAACAAUUACUCAUGUUUAAAGUUUGACAAGAAUUAAAGAUUAUGAAUAUGUAUUUGAGGUUAUAACUAAAUUAUAGCAAAG